rnacentral:misc_RNA from 1 species
GAUGAAGAACGUAGCGAAAUGCGAUAAGUAAUGCGAAUUGCAGAAUUCAGUGAAUCAUCGAAUCUUUGAACGCACCUUGCGCUCCUUGGUAUUCCGAGGAGCAUGCCUGUUUGAGUGUCAUUAAUAUAUCAACCUCUUCAGCUUAUGCUUGUUGAGUGUUGGAUGGUGGGGGUUUGCUGGUGUCUUAUGAAGUCAGCUCCUCUGAAAUGCAUUAGCGGAACAAUUUGUUGACCGUUCAUUGGUGUGAUAAAAAUAUCUACGCUAUUGACGUCAGUCAGUUCAGCUUCUAACAGUCCAUUGACUUGGACAAAUUUUUCAUUAAUGUGACCUCAAAUCAGGUAGGACUACCCGCUGAACUUAAGCAUAUCAAUAAGCGGAGGA